rnacentral:rRNA from 1 species
GACGUAGGAGGCGAGCGUUAUCCGGAUUCACUGGGCGUAAAGCGCAUGUAGGCGGCGGAGUAAGUCGUGUGUUAAAGCCCCUGGCUCAACUGGGGGAGGUCAUGCGAGACUAUUCGGCUAGAGGGCAGCAGAGGCACGUGGAACUCCCGGUGUAGCGGUGGAAUGCGUAGAGAUCGGGAAGAACACCAGUGGCGAAGGCGGCGUGCUGGGCUGCGACUGACGCUGAGAUGCGAAAGUGUGGGGAGCAAACGGG